UGGGCCUCUAGUACGCUCUAUACCCUUUGUGACAUACCUAACCGUUGCUUCGGCGGGCAGGGGAAGCCUCUCGCGGGCCUCCCCUCCCGGCGCCGGCCCCCACCACGGGGACGGGGCGCCCGCCGGAGGAAACCAAACUCUAUUUACACGACGUCUCUUCUGAGUGGCACAAGCAAAUAAUUAAAACUUUUAACAACGGAUCUCUUGGUUCUGGCAUCGAUGAAGAACGCAGCGAAAUGCGAUAAGUAAUGUGAAUUGCAGAAUUCAGUGAAUCAUCGAAUCUUUGAACGCACAUUGCGCUCGCCAGCAUUCUGGCGAGCAUGCCUGUUCGAGCGUCAUUUCAACCCUCAAGCACCGCUUGGUUUUGGGGCCCCACGGCACACGUGGGCCCUUAAAGGUAGUGGCGGACCCUCCCGGAGCCUCCUUUGCGUAGUAACUAACGUCUCGCACUGGGAUUCGGAGGGACUCUUGCCGUAAAACCCCCAAAUUUUUUACAGGUUGACCUCGGAUCAGGUAGGAAUACCCGCUGAACUUAAGCAUAUCAAUAAGCGGAGGAAAGGC
rnacentral:rRNA from 1 species